rnacentral:tRNA from 1 species
GCAGAGGUAUCGAAGUGGUCAUAACGGGGCUGACUCGAAAUCAGUUUGUGCCAAAAGCACACGAGGGUUCGAAUCCCUCCCUCUGCGCCA